CCUACGGGCGGCAGCAGUGGGGAAUAUUGGACAAUGGGGGGAACCCUGAUCCAGCCAUGCCGCGUGUGUGAAGAAGGCCCUCGGGUUGUAAAGCACUUUCAGUGAGGAAGAACGCCUGGUGGUUAAUACCCAUCAGGAAAGACAUCACUCACAGAAGAAGCACCGGCUAACUCCGUGCCAGCAGCCGCGGUAAUACGGAGGGUGCGAGCGUUAAUCGGAAUUACUGGGCGUAAAGCGCGCGUAGGUGGCUUGAUAAGCCGGUUGUGAAAGCCCCGGGCUCAACCUGGGAACGGCAUCCGGAACUGUCAAGCUAGAGUGCAGGAGAGGAAGGUAGAAUUUCCGGUGUAGCGGUGAAAUGCGUAGAGAUCGGGAGGAAUACCAGUGGCGAAGGCGGCCUUCUGGACUGACACUGACACUGAGGUGGGAAAGCGUGGGUAGCAAACAGGAUUAGAUACCCGAGUAGUC
rnacentral:rRNA from 1 species